rnacentral:rRNA from 1 species
UACGUAGGGACCAAGCGUUGUCCGGAAUCAUUGGGCGUAAAGCGCGCGUAGGCGGCCCGGUAAGUCCGUUGUAAAAGUCGAAGGCUCAACCUUCGAAAGCCGAUGGAUACUGCCGGGCUAGAGUACGGAAGAGGCGAGUAGAAUUCCUGGUGUAGCGGUGGAAUGCGCAGAUAUCAGGAGGAAUACCCAUAGCGAAGGCAGCUCGCUGGGACGUUACUGACGCUGAGGCGCAAAAGCGUGGGGAGCGAACAGG